rnacentral:rRNA from 1 species
UACGGGGGGGGCAAGCGUUGUUCGGAAUUACUGGGCGUAAAGGGUUCGUAGGUGGCCAACUAAGUCAUACGUGAAAUCCCUCAGCUUAACUGGGGAACUGCGUCUGAUACUGGUUGGCUUGAGUGCAGGAGAGGAACGCGGAAUUCCAGGUGUAGCGGUGAAAUGCGUAGAUAUCUGGAGGAACACCGGUGGCGAAGGCGGCGUUCUGGACUGCAACUGACACUGAUGCGCGAAAGCCAGGGGAGCGAACGGG